rnacentral:misc_RNA from 1 species
GCUUUGCGGCUGGAUCCCCUCCUUUCUAAGGACGCGUUCGAUGGUUCGCCUCGAACGUGAUCCCAAAAACAGGACGCGCUGAGGUCGGUUCGCCGAUCCGGCCGCCGUCCACGCAUCUUUUCCGAACAGCUCGCGAAGGCUCGCGUCCCGUUGGGGCUAGUAGCUCAGUUGGUUAGAGCGCGCGCUUGAUAAGCGUGAGGUCGGAGGUUCAAGUCCUCCCUGGCCCACCAUCUUUUGGUUUGCGUUAUCGGGCGUCGCCCUGCUUGAGCGCAGUUAGCGGCCGCCGAUCGAUCGGCGUCGCGGCGGGGGCGUAGCUCAGUUGGGAGAGCGCCUGCUUUGCAAGCAGGAGGUCGUCGGUUCGAUCCCGUCCGCCUCCACCAUCGCUUGAGCUGUUGUCAGAGUUCGGCGCGUCGGUAUUCGACGCGCCGGUGUUCCUUCAGCCGCAAUGGUUGAACCGAUGAAAUCGUAUAGAUGUCGAUCCAAGUGGAUCGUCGGCCAAGAACCAGGGCCGGGGGUUCGCUUUCAUCUCGAAUUCCGUCGCGUCGUAUGGCGUGUAGAUCACCGCGGGGAUCGCUCCCUGCGGCGACCGCAGGUCCGUUCGACGGGACGGCCGCGAGAAUGCAAGAUCAAGCGUUUAGCAAGGGCAUCCGGGGGAUGCCUUGGCGCUGAGAGGCGAUGAAGGACGUGGCACUCUGCGAUAAGCUGCGGCGAGCCGAGAGCAGGCUUUGACCCGCGGAUUUCCGAAUGGGGAAACCCGGAAGC